AUAUCUUUGGUACGUAACUGCUUACGUCAUUGGGACCCAUAUGUUUACGAAACAUUGUUUUGUGAGUCGAAGUGUGUUGUUGGGUUGGCGUGGAUGGUUGCAUUUGCGUAACAUUUUGUACGAAUUAAUCAUUGCUGCCGUACGUAAGUCGCGAUGCGUCAGCUGAAAGGAAAGGUGAAAGAAACGAGCAAGCAGAAACGAGAGAGAAAGAAAGACUUCAUAGAGAACAAAAAGAAUUUCUUCACUAUUGUGCUGCCGUCACUAGCAGCUGUAUUUGUUCUCAUUGCUGCAUAUGUUUACGUCAAGACCAGGCCUAAAGCCAAUUUGGACUACUAAAGGAGAAAUGUGAAGGAGGGAGGUAAAAUUGUUCUGUCUGUCUGAAAGUGUUAUAUCUUUGUUAACUCCACCAUUGAUUUGUUUCAGUGGGAAAACGUGAUAAUUCCUUUGAGGGGUCCAAUUAGCAAUACUUGCUAGUUUUGUGCAAAGUUUACCUAACAGAAAAAUAUAUUUUAUUAUAAAUUUUUAUGGGUUUGUCUCAUUGUUGAUGUUUAAAUGGUGAGUUUAGAAACAAAAAUAUUAUUUCUUCCAAAAAAAAUACAUAGAAGUAGGUUUUUUAAAUGUUGGGCAUUUAUAUAUGUAUUCCAGGUGUUAUAUAAACUAUAUUGCAUGAGGUUGCCAGACAACAGCUACACAAUUCUGUGAUGUUUUAAACCUGUUCAUAAAAAUAAAAUAAAAAUGAUAUAAAUCAUAUAAAA